GCAACAUAUGAGGGGAACAUAGCAUGACUUGCUGUGAGCUCUCUGGAAGCCCUUUUCAAUAGUAUGGAGAAAAAAUAUCCUGAAAGACUGAUAAGGUUCCCAAGUGAUUUGAAGAUUGGUAAUGUGGUAAACAAAGAGAGGAUCAUUGACAGACAACCUGGGCAGCUCACUAAGCCAAGGACAAGCAGGUCAUCCCACAAAACAAUUAGGAGGGACUGGAGAUAUUUUAUUAUGUUGCUCUGUGUGCUACACGUCAAAGACACGCUGAGAGUCUGUGCACCAAAGUUUGGUUCCAAAGUCUGGGCUUUGCACAUUUGGAAAUGCGCUGUAGAAGGAGAAGCACUGAGUCAUCCUGAGCAAGAGGGGCCACAGGCUCUGCAGCACCUUAAAAAGGCACUGGAAAGCUUAAAAAAAGGAAAAUGGUUGAAGAGCUCUGGCAUAAAUCAUGCUUGCAGCAAGAAGGGACCAUGGCAAUAAAAGGAGCAACCUUGCAUGGAGAGGCAGUGCCUGGGCUGACCCACCCAACAGAGCACCACUGUGCUUCCUACCUGCAGGCAGAUCCAGUCCCAGCCCACCACGGGAGUCAUUUGGGGUGAGGAUGGGUGGAAGGAAGGUUGUGCGCAAGGAGGUGAGGUGCCAGUGGUGCACAAAAUGCCUUGCAGAACUGUAAUUACAGCAAGGAGCCAUUGUCCUUCAGGGGAGGCACCAAAAAAGUCCCCUCGCUUCAUCUCCUGGCCACCCUCCCAGCCUGGCAGCAGAG